rnacentral:rRNA from 1 species
UACGAAAGGGGCUAGUGUUGUUCGGAAUUACUGGGAGAAAAGCGCACGUAGGCGGCCUUGUAAGAUGGGGGUGAAAUCCCCGGGCUCAACCCGGGAACUGCCUUCAUGACUGCAAAGCUUGAGGAUGCGAGAGGUUAGCGGAAUUCCGAGUGUAGAGGUGAAAUUCGUAGAUAUUCGGAAGAACACCAGUGGCGAAGGCGGCUAACUGGCGCAUUUCUGACGCUGAGGUGCGAAAGCGUGUGGAGCAAACAGG